rnacentral:rRNA from 1 species
AGAGUUUGAUCAUGGCUCAGGACGAACGCUGGCGGCGUGCCUAACACAUGCAAGUUGAGCGACGAACCAGGGCUUGCCCUGGGGCAAAGCAGCGAACGGGUGAGUAACACGUGGGUAACCUGCCCCGAUAACCGGGACAACCCGAGGAAACUCGGGCUAAUACCGGAUGUGCUCGUCAGACCCAAGUCUGACGCGUAAAGGAAGCUUCGGCCUCCGUAUCGGGAGGGGCCCGCGGCCCAUUAGUUAGUUGGUGAGGUAACGGCUCACCAAGACCGCGAUGGGUAGCUGGUCUGAGAGGACGAUCAGCCACACUGGGACUGAGACACGGCCCAGACUCCUACGGGAGGCAGCAGUGGGGAAUCUUGCGCAAUGCGCGAAAGCGUGACGCAGCAACGCCGCGUGGGGGAAGAAGGCCUUCGGGUUGUAAACCCCUUUCAGGAGGGACGAAGGUGUGGCGGUGAGUAGCCGUCCGCACUGACGGUACCUCCACAAGAAGCCCCGGCUAACUACGUGCCAGCAGCCGCGGUA